UACGGAGGGUGCAAGCGUUAAUCGGAUUUAUUGGGCGUAAAGGGCGCGUAGGCGGGAAAGAAAGUCAGAUGUGAAAUGCCGGGGCUUAACCCCGGAACGGCAUUUGAAACUUCUUUUCUAGAGGAUGUGCGGAGAAAACGGAAUUCCAUGUGUAGCGGUGAAAUGCGUAGAUAUAUGGAAGAACACCAGUGGCGAAGGCGGUUUUCUAGUGCAUUCCUGACGCUGAGGCGCGAAAGCAAGGGGAGCAAACAGG
rnacentral:rRNA from 1 species